rnacentral:rRNA from 1 species
UACGUAGGGUGCGAGCGUUAAUCGGAAUUACUGGGCGUAAAGCGUGCGCAGGCGGCUUUGCAAGACAGAUGUGAAAUCCCCGGGCUCAACCUGGGAACUGCAUUUGUCACUGCAAGGCUAGAGUACGGCAGAGGGGGAUGGAAUUCCGCGUGUAGCAGUGAAAUGCGUAGAUAUGCGGAGGAACACCAAUGGCGAAGGCAAUCCCCUGGGCCUGUACUGACGCUCAUGCACGAAAGCGUGGGGAGCAAACAGG